rnacentral:lncRNA from 1 species
CUUUCUUCAAUAGCACUAGGAAGGGUUUUUGAUGACGCUGGAGAAAAGUGAAGCGAAUUUCAGAGGAUAAUUUUCAGGUGGGUGGAGGGUUCAGGUCGGGAAUAGUUGUGACAGGAACCUUAAAUGUUGUAGGUCUAGGGUCAACGUUUUACCAGGAAUGCUGGAAAUGAAAGCAGGGUUUCCUCGGAUUUCCGCGCUGCUCAGUGCUGUUUGUGGCUCGGAUCCUAGUUUAAGGAUUUCAGUCCAUGCCUUGCUAUUUGCUUUGUAAAAUGAUGAAAAGAGUGGAGAUUUAACCUGCAAUUAAUUCCUCGAGGGAAAACAAGAAUGAUUUGCAUUGCCGAUCUCUAAAUACCUAAAAAGUAUACUUCAUAACUACUAUUGAAAUGAUAAUAUUGCUAAUAAACUUAUGCUUAUGUAUCUGUCCUUGUAAAAUCUAGAUUGCUUUGUUAUUUCUGGGGCAGCACACAAAGCUUUUCAAUAUUAUUUCAAGUUAUUUUUUUUUUUCAAUCAGCGGUUGCCUGUUUGACAUUUAGAAAAUGCUAGUUAAUGAUAUUUACUUUUAUUCGGUGAAAACAAAGUGGUUUU